AUGGGAAAAAAGAGCCAAUGUUGUGAGCAUAUGGAGGGCAAAACCAUAUAGGUUUUCUGCGCACGCACUUAUUUAGCGGAGUGAAAGGUGCUGGACCGAAUGUUGUCGAGCGGAAUUUCAUAGCAGUUCAGCGUUAACUGCAAGCUGUGCUUCACCCCAAGACCCAGCAAUACUAUCAGGAGCAUGGAAAAAGAAGUGAACGAACCGGUUGUGCGCCAAGAUGCAAAGACCGCUGUCACCGCAUGCCCGACAAGGAGGUUCAAAGACAAGGAAAAGCCUGAAUCUGCGUCAAGCGACAGAGAGCACGAUGCUAAAGGAACGGGCAACCAAACCCGUACUCCAAAGUGACGGCGCAUGCCACUACGUACUGUGAUAAAAACGCAUUGCUCAAUAAAUCCCACGACGGCCCAGCUUGGGCGAUUUUCACUGGAGUAAUUCACACAACACUCGUUUUCUUUCAAACUGUAUUUUCACUGUGAUGACUUUUCGUCAAACUGUACUUUCAGCGUUUAUGAGUCUUGAAAUAAAAUGACAAUGGACA
rnacentral:lncRNA from 1 species